rnacentral:rRNA from 1 species
CCUACGGGUGGCAGCAGUGGGGAAUAUUGGACAAUGGGGGGAACCCUGAUCCAGCGACGCCGCGUGAGUGAAGAAGUCUUUCUGUAUGUAAAGCUCUAUCAGCAGGGAAGAAAGACAUGACGGUACCUGACUACUAAGCCCCGGCUAACUACGUGCCAGCAGCCGCGGUAAUACGGAGGGGGCAAGCGUUAUCCGGAUUUACUGGGUGUAAAGGGAGCGUAGACGGCGAUGCAAGUCUGACGUGAAAGGCGGGGGCCCAACCCCCGGACUGCUUUGGAAACUGUAGGGCUGGAGUGCAGGAGAGGUAAGGGGAAUGCCUAGUGUAGCGGUGAAAUGCGUAGAUAUUAGGAGGAACACCAGUGGCGAAGGCGGCUUACUGGACUGUAACUGACGUUGAGGCUCGAAAGCGUGGGGAGCAAACAGGAUUAGAUACCCUAGUAGUC